rnacentral:rRNA from 1 species
GGGAAACAGGUUAAUAUUCCUGUACUUGGUGUUACUGCGAAGGGGGGACGGAGAAGGCUAUGUUGGCCGGGCGACGGUUGUCCCGGUUUAAGCGUGUAGGCUGGUUUUCCAGGCAAAUCCGGAAAAUCAAGGCUGAGGCGUGAUGACGAGGCACUACGGUGCUGAAGCAACAAAUGCCCUGCUUCCAGGAAAAGCCUCUAAGCAUCAGGUAACAUCAAAUCGUACCCCAAACCGACACAGGUGGUCAGGUAGAGAAUACCAAGGCGCUUGAGAGAACUCGGGUGAAGGAACUAGGCAAAAUGGUGCCGUAACUUCGGGAGAAGGCACGCUGAUAUGUAGGUGAAGCGACUUGCUCGUGGAGCUGAAAUCAGUCGAAGAUACCAGCUGGCUGCAACUGUUUAUUAAAAACACAGCACUGUGCAAACACGAAAGUGGACGUAUACGGUGUGACGCCUGCCCGGUGCCGGAAGGUUAAUUGAUGGGGUUAGCGGUAACGCGAAGCUCUUGAUCGAAGCCCCGGUAAACGGCGGCCGUAACUAUAACGGUCCUAAGGUAGCGAAAUUCCUUGUCGGGUAAGUUCCGACCUGCACGAAUGGCGUAAUGAUGGCCAGGCUGUCUCCACCCGAGACUCAGUGAAAUUGAACUCGCUGUGAAGAUGCAGUGUACCCGCGGCAAGACGGAAAGACCCCGUGAACCUUUACUAUAGCUUGACACUGAACAUUGAGCCUUGAUGUGUAGGAUAGGUGGGAGGCUUUGAAGUGUGGACGCCAGUCUGCAUGGAGCCGACCUUGAAAUACCACCCUUUAAUGUUUGAUGUUCUAACGUUGGCCCCUGAUCGGGGUUGCGGACAGUGUCUGGUGGGUAGUUUGACUGGGGCGGUCUCCUCCUAAAGAGUAACGGAGGAGCACGAAGGUUGGCUAAUCCUGGUCGGACAUCAGGAGGUUAGUGCAAUGGCAUAAGCCAGCUUGACUGCGAGCGUGACGGCGCGAGCAGGUGCGAAAGCAGGUCAUAGUGAUCCGGUGGUUCUGAAUGGAAGGGCCAUCGCUCAACGGAUAAAAGGUACUCCGGGGAUAACAGGCUGAUACCGCCCAAGAGUUCAUAUCGACGGCGGUGUUUGGCACCUCGAUGUCGGCUCAUCACAUCCUGGGGCUGAAGUAGGUCCCAAGGGUAUGGCUGUUCGCCAUUUAAAGUGGUACGCGAGCUGGGUUUAGAACGUCGUGAGACAGUUCGGUCCCUAUCUGCCGUGGGCGCUGGAGAACUGAGGGGGGCUGCUCCUAGUACGAGAGGACCGGAGUGGACGCAUCACUGGUGUUCGGGUUGUCAUGCCAAUGGCACUGCCCGGUAGCUAAAUGCGGAAGAGAUAAGUGCUGAAAGCAUCUAAGCACGAAACUUGC